AUUGAACGCUGGCGGCAGGCUUAAUACAUGCAAGUCGAGCGGAGAUGAGGUGCUUGCACCUUAUCUUAGCGGCGGACGGGUGAGUAAUGCUUAGGAAUCUGCCUAUUAGUGGGGGACAACAUUCCGAAAGGAAUGCUAAUACCGCAUACGCCCUACGGGGGAAAGCAGGGGAUCUUCGGACCUUGCGCUAAUAGAUGAGCCUAAGUCGGAUUAGCUAGUUGGUGGGGUAAAGGCCUACCAAGGCGACGAUCUGUAGCGGGUCUGAGAGGAUGAUCCGCCACACUGGGACUGAGACACGGCCCAGAUUCCUACGGGAGGCAGCAGUGGGGAAUAUUGGACAAUGGGCGGAAGCCUGAUCCAGCCAUGCCGCGUGUGUGAAGAAGGCCUUUUGGUUGUAAAGCACUUUAAGCGAGGAGGAGGCUACUUAGAUUAAUACUCUAGGAUAGUGGACGUUACUCGCGGAAUAAGCACCGGCUAACUCUGUGCCAGCAGCCGCCGCAGUAA
rnacentral:rRNA from 1 species